rnacentral:tRNA from 1 species
GGUUUAAUUAAUAAUUAAUUUGCAUUUAAUUAAGAAGAUUUGUCUUUUAAGCCA